rnacentral:rRNA from 1 species
GUGGCGGACGGGUGAGGAACGCGUGAGAACCUGCCUCAAGGUCGGGGACAACAGUUGGAAACGACUGCUAAUACCGGAUGAGCCUUCGGGUAAAAGAUUUAUCGCCUAGAGAGGGGCUCGCGUCUGAUUAGCUAGAUGGUGAGGUAAAGGCUUACCAUGGCAACGAUCAGUAGCUGGUCUGAGAGGAUGAGCAGCCACACUGGGACUGAGACACGGCCCAGACUCCUACGGGAGGUAGCAGUGGGGAAUUUUCCGCAAUGGGCGAAAGCCUGACGGAGCAAUACCGCGUGAGGGAGGAAGGCUCUUGGGUUGUAAACCUCAAAACUUAGGGAAGAAAAAAAUGACGGUACCUAAUGUAAGCAUCGGCUAACUCCGUGCCAGCAGCCGCGGUAAUACGGAGGAUGCAAGCGUUAUCCGGAAUCAUUGGGCGUAAAGAGUCCGUAGGUGGCACUUCAAGUCUGCUUUCAAAGACCGAAGCUCAACUUCGGAAAGGGAGUGGAAACUGAAGAGCUAGAGUAUAGUAGGGGUAGAGGGAAUUCCUAGUGUAGCGGUGAAAUGCGUAGAGAUUAGGAAGAACACCAGUGGCGAAGGCGCUCUACUGGGCAUAUACUGACACUGAGGGACGAAAGCUAGGGGAGCGAAAGGGAUUAGAUACCCCUGUAGUCCUA